rnacentral:rRNA from 1 species
GACGAACGCUGGCGGCGUGCUUAACACAUGCAAGUCGAACGGUGAAGCGCCUUCUUUUUUGGGUGGUGUGGAUGAGUGGCGAACGGGUGAGUAACACGUGAGUAACCUGCCCCCUUCUUCUGGAUAACCGCAUGAAAGUGUGUCUAAUACGGGAUAUUCUGCGUCUGUCGCAUGAUGGGUCUGGGUAAGAUAUUGUUUCGGUGGGGGAUGGGCUCGCGGCCUAUCAGGUUGUUGGGGGGGUGAUGGCCUACCAAGGCUGUGCGGGGUAGCCGGCCUGGGAGGGUGGCCGGCCUGAGAGGGGCAGAGGCACCGCCGAGACUGCUACGGGAGGCAGCAGUGGGGAAUAUGGAACAAUGGGGGCAAGUCUGAUGCAGCGGGGCCGCGUGAGUGAUGGAGCCCUGCGGGUUGUGAACGUCUUUCGCUAGUGAAGCAGGCCUGCCUCGUUUGAGGGGGGAUUGAUGGUAGCUGGAGAAGAAGCGCCGGCUAACUACGUG